AGCUCCCCUGGGCUUUGGGGCUCAUCACUCUCUCCUCACACGGGGCUGAGGUCUCUGGGGAAGACAGAGCUGUGCUCUAGAGAAGAUGCGGCUGCUGGGUCUCCUCCUGUGCCUGGUGACAGCCCCCCAGGGUGUCCUUUCCCAGUUGCAGCUGCAGGAGUCGGGCCCAGGACUGGUGAAACCCUCACAGACCCUCUCCCUCACCUGCACCGUGUCUGGUGGCUCAGUCUCCAGCAGUGACUACUGGAGCUGGAUCCGCCAAUCACCAGGGAAGGGGCUGGAGUGGAUGGGGUACUGGUCAGGAGGUACAAGUUACAACCCAACUUUCCAGGGCCGAAUCUCCAUCACUGCUGACACGUCCAGGAACCAGUUCUCCCUGAAACUGAGCUCUGUGACCACCGAGGACACAGCUGUGUAUUACUGUGCAAGAGACACAAGUCUGGAUCAGGACACCAACAGACCAGACAACUCAGCAGCAAAUGGCAGCUCCCAGGGCUCACCUGCCACCAGCUAG